GGGGGCGUAGUUCAGUUGGUUAGAACGUCUGCCUGUCACGCAGAAGGUCGCGGGUUCGAGUCCCGUCGCUCCCG
rnacentral:tRNA from 1 species